rnacentral:rRNA from 1 species
GACAGAGGGUGCAAACGUUGUUCGGAAUUACUGGGCGUAAAGCGCGUGUAGGCUGCUCUGCAAGUCGGAUGUGAAAGCCCAGGGCUCAACCUAGGAAGUGCACUCGAAACUGCAGAGCUUGAGUCCUGGAGAGGAAGGCGGAAUUCUCGGUGUAGAGGUGAAAUUCGUAGAUAUCGAGAGGAACACCGGUGGCGAAGGCGGCCUUCUGGACAGUGACUGACGCUGAGACGCGAAAGCGUGGGGAGCAAACAGG